rnacentral:rRNA from 1 species
GACGGAGGAUGCAAGUGUUAUCCGGAAUCACUGGGCGUAAAGCGUCUGUAGGUGGUUUAAAAAGUCUGCUGUUAAAAAUUGAAGCUUAACUUCAAAGAUGCCGUAGAAACUUUUAAACUUGAGGAUGGUAGGGGUAGAGGGAAUUUCCAGUGGAGCGGUGAAAUGCGUAGAUCUUGGAAAGACCACCAAUGGCGAAGGCACUCUACUGGGCCAUGACUGACACUGAGAGACGAAAGCUAGGGGAGCAAAUGGG